CCACCGGGAUGUUCUAACCCUUUGUUGUCCGACUCUGUUGCCUCCGGGGCGACCCUGCCUUCGGGCGGGGGCUCCGGGUGGACACUUCAAACUCUUGCGUAACUUUGCAGUCUGAGUAAACUUAAUUAAUAAAUUAAAACUUUUAACAACGGAUCUCUUGGUUCUGGCAUCGAUGAAGAACGCAGCGAAAUGCGAUAAGUAAUGUGAAUUGCAGAAUUCAGUGAAUCAUCGAAUCUUUGAACGCACAUUGCGCCCCCUGGUAUUCCGGGGGGCAUGCCUGUUCGAGCGUCAUUUCACCACUCAAGCCUCGCUUGGUAUUGGGCAACGCGGUCCGCCGCGUGCCUCAAAUCGACCGGCUGGGUCUUCUGUCCCCUAAGCGUUGUGGAAACUAUUCGCUAAAGGGUGUUCGGGAGGCUACGCCGUAAAACAACCCCAUUUCUAAGGUUGACCUCGGAUCAGGUAGGGAUACCCGCUGAACUUAAGCAUAUCAA
rnacentral:rRNA from 1 species